rnacentral:tRNA from 1 species
UCCCGCGUAGCUCAGCCGGUAGAGCAGCUGACUGUUAAUCAGCGGGUCGUAGGUUCGAGUCCUACCGCGGGAGCCA